GACGAACGCUGGCGGCGUGCUUAACACAUGCAAGUCGAACGGAAAGGCCCUGCUUUUGUGGGGUGCUCGAGUGGCGAACGGGUGAGUAACACGUGAGUAACCUGCCCUUGACUUUGGGAUAACUUCAGGAAACUGGGGCUAAUACCGGAUAGGAGCUCCUGCUGCAUGGGGGGGGUUGGAAAGUUUCGGCGGUUGGGGAUGGACUCGCGGCUUAUCAGCUUGUGGGUGGGGUAGUGGCUUACCAAGGCUUUGACGGGUAGCCGGCCUGAGAGGGUGACCGGCCACAUUGGGACUGAGAUACGGCCCAGACUCCUACGGGAGGCAGCAGUGGGGAAUAUUGCACAAUGGGCGGAAGCCUGAUGCAGCAACGCCGCGUGCGGGAUGACGGCCUUCGGGUUGUAAACCGCUUUCGCCUGUGACGAAGCGUGAGUGACGGUAAUGGGUAAAGAAGCACCGGCUAACUACGUG
rnacentral:rRNA from 1 species